AGAUAAGAGGGAAAAUGGUUUAACAUUAGACUUUAACUCUGGUGACCAGGGUUCGAAUCCCAGCUCAGCCA
rnacentral:tRNA from 1 species